GAUGAACGCUGGCGGCGUGCCUAAUACAUGCAAGUCGAGCGAACAGAUGAUGAGCUUGCUCCUCUGACGUUAGCGGCGGACGGGUGAGUAACACGUGGAUAACCUACCUAUAAGACUGGGAUAACUUCGGGAAACCGGAGCUAAUACCGGAUAAUAUAUUGAACCGCAUGGUUCAAUAGUGAAAGACGGUUUUGCUGUCACUUAUAGAUGGAUCCGCGCCGCAUUAGCUAGUUGGUAAGGUAACGGCUUACCAAGGCAACGAUGCGUAGCCGACCUGAGAGGGUGAUCGGCCACACUGGAACUGAGACACGGUCCAGACUCCUACGGGAGGCAGCAGUAGGGAAUCUUCCGCAAUGGGCGAAAGCCUGACGGAGCAACGCCGCGUGAGUGAUGAAGGUCUUCGGAUCGUAAAACUCUGUUAUUAGGGAAGAACAAAUGUGUAAGUAACUAUGCACGUCUUGACGGUACCUAAUCAGAAAGCCACGGCUAACUACGUG
rnacentral:rRNA from 1 species